AUUGAACGCUGGCGGCAUGCUUUACACAUGCAAGUCGAACGGAGUGGCGAACGGGUGAGUAAUAUAUCGGAACGUACCGAGUAAUGGGGGAUAACCAAUCGAAAGAUUGGCUAAUACCGCAUAUUAUUCGAGCGGCCGAGAUCUGAUUAGCUCGUUGGUGGAGUAAAGGCCUACCAAGGCGACGAUAAGUCGCGGGGCUGAGAGGACGAUCCGCCACACCGUGACUGAGACACGGCCCAGACGCCUACGGGAGGCAGCAGGGGGGAAUAUUGGACAAUGGGCUAAAGCCUGAUCCAGCCAUGCCGCGUGUGUGAAGAAGGUCUUCGGAUUGUAAAGCACUUUAAGUUUGUAGGCGUUACCAACAGAAUAAGCACCGGCUAACUUCGUGCCAGCAGCCGCGGUAAUUC
rnacentral:rRNA from 1 species